rnacentral:rRNA from 1 species
GAUGAACGCUGGCGGCGUGCCUAAUACAUGCAAGUCGAGCGAACGGACGAGAAGCUUGCUCUUCUGAUGUUAGCGGCGGACGGGUGAGUAACACGUGGAUAACCUACCUAUAAGACUGGGAUAACUUCGGGAAACCGGAGCUAAUACCGGAUAAUAUUUUGAACCGCAUGGUUCAAUAGUGAAAGACGGUCUUGCUGUCACUUAUAGAUGGAUCCGCGCUGCAUUAGCUAGUUGGUAAGGUAACGGCUUACCAAGGCAACGAUGCAUAGCCGACCUGAGAGGGUGAUCGGCCACACUGGAACUGAGACACGGUCCAGACUCCUACGGGAGGCAGCAGUAGGGAAUCUUCCGCAAUGGGCGAAAGCCUGACGGAGCAACGCCGCGUGAGUGAUGAAGGUCUUCGGAUCGUAAAACUCUGUUAUUAGGGAAGAACAUAUGUGUAAGUAACUGUGCACAUCUUGACGGUACCUAAUCAGAAAGCAACGGCUAACUACGUG